UGGCGGACGGGUGAGUAACGCGUGGAAAACCUGCCGUAUACUGGGGGAUAACACUUAGAAAUAGGUGCUAAUACCGCAUAAGCGCACAGCUUCGCAUGAAGUGGUGUGAAAAACUCCGGUGGUAUACGAUGGUUCCGCGUCUGAUUAGCUUGUUGGUGGGGUAAUGGCUCACCAAGGCGACGAUCAGUAGCCGGCCUGAGAGGGUGAACGGCCACAUUGGGACUGAGACACGGCCCAAACUCCUACGGAAGGCAGCAG
rnacentral:rRNA from 1 species